rnacentral:lncRNA from 1 species
CGGGGAUGUAAAUUACGGCGUGUCGUGAUAUGUAAAUACAGUGUUUUUUUGUCGUUGUUGUGGCUAGAUGAGCUACAAAUUUGGACCCAGGUCCAUUCGUUUGCAACACACGCCGAAGAUGGGCCUGUUCGAUGUUGCUGUGCGAUAUUUUACAGCUCAGUCUGGCCAUCCACUACUCUCACCGUGGACCCAUUUUCGCGCUUCAUUUUACGGCUCUUACGGCGCCGUAAAUUAUCGCUUGUCUGGCUUUAGAUUUAUAAUAAGUUACAAAGUUCUGUUAAUUUCUUGUUCUCAUUAUUUGUAUUUAGGUAUUUGUAUUUUCAUAUUAGGCAAAUUUGACAUAGUUUAAUAUAAACUCUCUUUUUCAAACUA